UCAGGCAAAACUACCUCCUUGAUGGCAGAGCUGGGCCGGGCCCAGGGUCAGCCAAUUUCCUUUGGCUUCUCAUUCACUUCUGAGACUUGCUGUACAGAAAAAAAGGAAGAAGUAUCUAUUUAAAUUUGGAGCUCUAUUUAUGUAUAAAAACUCACUGACAGUGGCCACGAGCUGGAGACAGGAGCUGGCACCUGGCUGAAGGUGGACACCAUGGGGAGGGAGAGUUUUUGUCUGUUCACCCAGGCAUGAGAGAGACGCUGUUGUGGAUGUGUGGACUUGGCCAGCCCUGCUGGGUGUCCCUUGGCACACAGGAGCUGGAUAGCUGCUGAGAGGGUUUCCUCUCUGGGAGAGGAUGGUUUGGCAAGGCACAAGAGAUAGGGCGAGGAGCUGAUGUCCUGAAUACCCUGGAGCAGCUGGUGAAGGGGCACGUGCCCACUGCAGAGGCCACAGGGCACUGGAUGCAGCAGCAGGCAGCAAAAUGCACUAGCAGCAGGACUGGGAGCCACCACCGUGCCCUACAGCAUGACAAGGGACCAGCACAUCAUCCACAUACCCCUGAUGUCUGCAGUGCCCCUGUGGCUCCAAGCACAACAUGUUUCUGCCCUCCUGUGCAGUGCCGUUGGUGAACUGGAGUUCAGGCACAGCCCUGCCACCCGUGGGGAAAUGCAUGGGCAGGGAAAUAUCCUCACAUAGUGAGGAAGAAGAAUCUUGGACAAGGGCCUGCCUCCCUGUGGAGCCUUCUCUUCAUGGCACUUUCCAGGAGCAGCCAUGGUCCCUAAAUCCUCAUAACUGUUUCUGCAACUGCCACCUCCUGGGGACUGAGAGAUGGGGGUGACAAAAGCAUCUCAUGCUCCAGGGACAGUGUGGUGACACUGGAGAAACUGGGGAGGGACACGCCUGUGGGGGGUCCAUGUCCUCCCCCAUGUUCCUUGCUCAUACCUCCAUGAUCAGGACAUGGUCAAGGGCUCAGCCCUGCAGGGGAAACAGGAGAUGGGUGACAACCCCCAGAGUCUCUCACAAGCUGCAGCUCAGGCCUCCUAUUCCAGGAGAGUGAGGCUUAGCAGGAAAAGGCAAGAGUUGCACACUCUGCCACCCUGCCCCAGCCCUUGUUUUUGCUGCAAGAAGGGGGCGUGAGCCACCCCCAAGGACUACCCCAAGGACCACCUGCAACCCUCCAAGGAGGGGCAUUGCUCUGUGUCUGGCACUCCUCAUGCACAGCUCCACAUUCCCCCUGCAAUAAAAAUGGCUCUGUCUGGA